GCCAGGCACGGUGGCGCACGCCUGUAAUCCCAACGGUUCAGGAGGCUGAGACAGAAGGAUCGUGAGUUCAAAGCCAGCCUCAGCAAUGGUGAAGUGCUAAGCAGCUCAAUAAGAUUCUGUCUCUA
rnacentral:sRNA from 1 species